GAACGCCGGACGCAUGGAGGGGAAACCGUUCCAGCCCGCAAGGGCGGCCGACGAGGUGCUGCAUGGUUGUCGUCAGCUCGUGCCGUGAGGUGUCGGGUUAAGUCCCAUAACGAGCGCAACCCCUACCGUUAGUUGCCAGCGGGUCAUGCCGGGAACUCUAGCGGAACUGCCAGCGUAAGCUGUGAGGAAGGCGGGGAUGACGUCAAAUCAGCACGGCCCUUACGUCCAGGGCUACACACGUGUUACAAUGGCCGGUACAGAGGGCAGCCACCCGCGAGGGGGCGCGAAUCCCGAAAGCCGGUCGCAGUUCGGAUCGGAGUCUGGAACCCGACUCCGUGAAGCUGGAUUCGCUAGUAAUCGCGCAUCAGCCAUGGCGCGGUGAAUACGUUCCCGGGCCUU
rnacentral:rRNA from 1 species